AUUGAACGCUGGCGGAACGCUUUACACAUGCAAGUCGAACGGCAGCACGGACUUCGGUCUGGUGGCGAGUGGCGAACGGGUGAGUAAUGUAUCGGAACGUGCCCAGUCGUGGGGGAUAACGUAGUGAAAAUUACGCUAAUACCGCAUACGAUCUAUGGAUGAAAGCGGGGGAUCGCAAGACCUCGCGCGAUUGGAGCGGCCGAUAUCAGAUUAGGUAGUUGGUAGGGUAAAGGCCUACCAAGCCAACGAUCUGUAGCUGGUCUGAGAGGACGACCAGCCACACUGGAAUUGAGACACGGUCCAGACUCCUACGGGAGGCAGCAGUGGGGAAUUUUGGACAAUGGGCGAAAGCCUGAUCCAGCCAUUCCGCGUGCAGGAUGAAGGCCCUCGGGUUGUAAACUGCUUUUGUACAGAACGAAAAGGUUUCUACUAAUACUAGGAGCUCAUGACGGUACUGUAAGAAUAAGCACCGGCUAACUACGUG
rnacentral:rRNA from 1 species